AUUGAACGCUGGCGGCAUGCUUUACACAUGCAAGUCGAACGGCAGCGCGGUCUUCGGCCUGGCGGCGAGUGGCGAACGGGUGAGUAAUACAUCGGAACGUGCCCAGUAGUGUGGGAUAGCUCGGCGAAAGCCGGAUUAAUACCGCAUACGACCUGAGGGUGAAAGCGGGGGAUCUUCGGACCUCGCGCUAUUGGAGCGGCCGAUGGCAGAUUAGCUAGUUGGUGGGGUAAAGGCCUACCAAGGCGACGAUCUGUAGCUGGUCUGAGAGGACGACCAGCCACACUGGGACUGAGACACGGCCCAGACUCCUACGGGAGGCAGCAGUGGGGAAUUUUGGACAAUGGGCGAAAGUCUGAUCCAGCAAUGCCGCGUGUGUGAUGAAGGCCUUCGGGUUGUAAAGCACUUUUGGCGGGAACGAAAAGGACUGUGCCAAUACCACGGUUCGAUGACGGUACCCGCAGAAUAAGCACCGGCUAACUACGUG
rnacentral:rRNA from 1 species